AUGUUGCAGCAGGGUUUAUUGUGUGAAAUGUUGCAGCCAGGGUAUUUUGUGAAAUGUUGCAGCCAGAGUAUUGUGUAAAGUGUUGCAGCCAGGGUAUUGUGUGAAAUGUUGCACCAGAGUAUUGUGUGAAAUGUUGCAGCCAGGGUAUUGUGUGAAGUGUUGCAGCCAGAGUAUUGUGUGAAAUGUUGUAGCCAGAAUGUUGUGUGAAGUGUGUAGCACAGAGUAUUGUGUGAAGUGUUGCUGCCAGAGUAUUGUGAAGUGUUGUAGCCAGGGUAUUGUGUGAAGUGUUGCAGCCAGGGUAUUGUGUGAAGUGUUGAAGCCAGGGUAUUGUGUGAAGUGUUGCAGCCAGGGUAUUGUGUGAAGUGUUGAAGCCAGGGUAUUGUGUGAAGUGUUGUAGCCAGAGUAUGUGUGAAGUGUUGUAGCCAGAAUGUUGUGUGAAGUGUUGUAGCCAGAGUAUUGUGUGAAGUGUUGUAGCCAAAGUAUUGUGUGAAGUGUUGUAGCCAGAAUGUUGUGUGAAGUGUUGUAGCCAGAGUAUUGUGUGAAGUGUUGUAGCCAGAGUAUUGUGUGAAGUGUUGUAGCCAGAGUAUUGUGUGAAGUGUUGUAGCCAGGGUAUUGUGUGAAGUGUUGUAGACAGGGUAUUGUGUGAAGUGUUGUAGACAGGGUAUUGUGUGAAGUGUUGUAUACAGGGUAUUGUGUGAAGUGUUGUAGCCAGAGUAUUGUGUGAAGUGUUGUAGCCAGAGUAUUGUGUGAAGUGUUGUAGCAGGGUAUUGUGUGAAGUGUUGUAGCCAGAGUAUUGUGUGAAGUGUUGUAGCCAGGUAUUGUGUGAAGUGUUGUAGCCAGGGUAUUGUGUGAAGUGUUGUAGACAGGGUAUUGUGUGAAGUGUUGUAGACAGGGUAUUGUGUGAAGUGUUGUAGACCAGGGUAUUGUGUGAAGUGUUGUAGCCAGGGCAUUUUGAAUUGCUGUAGCCAUAGAAUUGUGUUUAAAAGCUUACAGUGAUACAAAUCACAAUUUAAACAGCAGUGAGCUUGACAGAGCUCAAUAACCCUUUCAGGGUCCAGACCCCUGAUCUGACAACUCUCUCAG